UCUUUUUCUUCUCUUUCCACAGUUAUCCUUUCUUCCUUUAACCUUUCGAUUAUUAUGCUUCUUCUCCGUAUUUGGAUUUUAACAUUCAUAUAAAUCCAAAAUCAAAACCAUCCGCCACCAUCUUCAUCGCUACCACCAGCAUCUCAGUCGCCACCACAAGUAACACUACUUCCACAACCAUCACCACCAUCACCACCUACCACAUUUUUAAAGGGAAAAUCAAUAGUUUCUUUUUCAAUUCCAGAUCUGGAAAAUAUCUUUAUUUCUCUUCUCUCUCAUCCAUCGCUGCCACCACUACUAUCACCAACAUUUCAGUAUGAAAAUCGAUUUUGAAGAUCGAUAAACAAUCUACAUGAAGAUUAUAUCAAAAGGUGAUUAGUGAAUCAACCAAACCCGGGAGGUGGUCGUGGUGAUGAUUAAUACUCGGUUUUCAGAAUUACAGCACGCUUGUGCUUGACCAUUGAUAUCUUUGUUUUCGGUGGGCAGUCUACUGCCAAGUGGUGGUGAAGGUUUUGGGGGUGCGGAAGUUAUGGUGGCUGAGCCAGUGGGAGUACGAGGAAUCUGCAGGGUUAGGUAAAGGCUAUUUCAAUGAAACAACAAACAUAAACUAGGAUGUCACUAUAGAUAGAAACCUGUAUGUCACAAUAAGUAGGUAUGUUCACUAUAAUACAUGCAUUAUAGUGCACAUUAAAUUGAACUUGUGGUGUAAUGGUAUUACAUCUUACUCCACGUCAGAAGAUGCUUGUUCGAUUCACGUCAGGUUCACUAAUUUUACUACAUCAAUUUUUGGGUUCAACUUUGAUUGUUGACACCAGAUUUUGGGAUCAACUUCGGUUAUUGAUACCAGAAAUCGGGAUCAACUUUAGUUGUUGACGCCAUAUUAUUUUUUUAUUUUAUUUAUUUUAUUUUCUGAUUUUUGUUUUUGGGUUCAACUUCGGUUGUUGACAACAAAAUUUAGGAUCAACUUUGGUUGUUGACGCAUAUUGUUUUUUUUUCCUCUGAUUUUUGUUUUAGGGAUCAACUUUGGUUGUUUAUACCAAAAUUUGGGAUCGAUAUUGGUUGUUGACGCAUAUUAUUAUUUUUACUUUUUCUUUUCUUAUUUUCUUAUUUUUGUUUUUGGGGAUCAAUUUCAUUUGUUGACACCAGAUUUUGGAUCAACUUCGGUUGUUGACGCCAUAUUGUUUUGUUAUGAGUUUUUG